UUUGUUUUUUUUUAAUAUGAUUUGGUGAAAAAAAAAGAAAAAAAACGU
rnacentral:ribozyme from 14 species